rnacentral:rRNA from 1 species
GACGAACGCUGGCGGCGUGCUUAACACAUGCAAGUCGAACGGAAAGGCCCUGCUUUUGUGGGGUGCUCGAGUGGCGAACGGGUGAGUAACACGUGAGUAACCUGCCCUUGACUUUGGGAUAACUUCAGGAAACUGGGGCUAAUACCGGAUAGGAGCUCCUGCUGCAUGGUGGGGGUUGGAAAGUUUCGGCGGUUGGGGAUGGACUCGCGGCUUAUCAGCUUGUUGGUGGGGUAGUGGCUUACCAAGGCUUUGACGGGUAGCCGGCCUGAGAGGGUGACCGGCCACAUUGGGAAUGAGAUACGGCCCAGACUCCUACGGGAGGCAGCAGUGGGGAAUAUUGCACAAUGGGCGGAAGCCUGAUGCAGCAACGCCGCGUGCGGGAUGACGGCCUUCGGGUGGUAAACCGCUUUCGCCUGUGACGAAGAGUGAGUGACGGUAAUGGGUAAAGAAGCACCGGCUAACUACGU